UCUUGCUUAUAUUGAUCCAGCAUCUUCAGACAUUAGGCCCAGCUUCUUGCAGUGAGGUGGAAGGACUGUGGACGUCACAGGGCUGCAGCAGAGUUGGCUCAUGGUUGUGAUUCCAGAGAGCCCGAAGGAAAAGCAAGACAGAAGCUAGCAGAUCAGAAGAGCUCCAAGUUUGAUUCCUGGUCUGUGCUGAAUAGCCAUCACCACAACUGCCUCCAGAAUUCCUGUUGUUCCAUCAAGACCGUGGAAUAUGAGAAUUGAAGAGAUAACUGAAAAGGAGGCCUGUACAUUUACGAUGAAUACAUUUUAAAAAGACCAUCUGAUAAUUUUGCCUUUGUAGAUUGGAAAAUACUGAAAAGCACUAUCGCAGUGGUGCUGAGAUUCAUCCGGAGAGGGAGAGUUUGGACGGAAGCUUGAAGGCAGCCAUGGAAAUGAGAAACAGAUCCAAGGCAGAAGCUAAGGAGUCCCCCAAGUCUGCCACAUUGAAAGCGAGCACCGCAGCUGGGGAUAAGAAAGAAUUUUCCAGCAAACCACCCGAGCCCACCAAUGCCCCUAAGAAACCAGCCACGGAAGCUCCUGCAGCCAGUGAACCGAAGUCCACAGGGGACAACUCAGUAACACCGCCCGCCAGCACUUCAGAUAACAAUAAGGCAACAGAUACCCAGCCAGAAGCCCAGGAUAACAAGGGAGAUACUUCUGAAGGGCAGCCCAGCAAUUUUUUUGAAAACAUGAAGCCAUAUAUACUGGGGGGGGCUGCCAUCACAGCCCUUGCUGUCCUCGUAGGUGUGGUAUUCAUACUGCACAAGAAAUAAGAAAAAUGUAUAAAGUUGUAUAUCAAAGCUGGUUACUUUCUGCAUGUAUGUACAUUGGAGGAAAUAUCUUCCAGCCCCAUAAUAAGUAAUUGUACAACUGUGUUCACCACUAUAAGUCUUGGUUUAAAAUGAUGGUAUUUAACUCAGUGUCCAUACACAUUGCAUACAAAACUUUUGAAUUAACCUGUAUAUUGUAAAAGUGGACUUCACCCCCACCCAGUCCUCCAUUGCCACCUUGUACAGAGCUUAUAGCAAUGUAAAAUGGGCCACACUUGUUCCCAUGCUAGCUUCCCAGUAAAACUUUUCACACACUGUAGGUUCCCCCUAUAAGCAUUGAGUGUAUAUCUUAUAUUCUAGUAGGAAGCCUUGUAAAAGUAGCCCACUCCCUUGUAGCAAAUAAAAUGAGAUGUAUUUCAGCAGCAUGUAAACCAAUUAUUUUUUUUCCCCGGGGCCCAUCUCACAUCUACACCUCUCUCUUUUGCUACAAUCAUCAGUGACAGCAACCGCACCAAAAUAAAAACACCUUUAAUUGGAUCAUUGCAAUGAUCAGAGGCAUCAAGGUUAUUAGAGAAAAAAAGGAAGGCAAAAAGGAAGCUAUGUGCCGAAAGCAAUAAAUCUGAGUUCCACUCCAAACUCCCAUUCCUUCUAGAACUUACUAGUAGAUUCUCUGUGUGAUUUGUUCUUGGGCCCAUGAGAGUAUUUAAUUCAACUAAUGAUGUCACAUUUACUUUGACUUAAAACAAGCGUAUACAUGCAAUAAAAAGCUAAGUUUAAAAAAAAAACAAAUUACUAGUUGGAAGUUGAUAAUAGGUAGAGUAGCUGUGCACAGUGUGACCCAGGCUGCUAUUAAUGUACCCAUCUCUCCUAUACCCACAUACUCUGGACACUGCUUGUUAUUUUAAGUGUUGUAUCAGCUUUUAAGUGAACAGUAAGGUUGGCUAACAGAUGUGCUAUAUGUGAACUACAUAUUCUUUACUCUGUACAUAAUAAAUGAGCCGCUAUUUGUCAGAAUUUAAUGUCUGGCUACCCUGUUGCUCUAAGGAAUGUAAUUCAAUAAAUUAACAUUUCUGAA